rnacentral:rRNA from 1 species
GACGAACGCUGGCGGCGCGCCUAAUACAUGCAAGUAGAGCGCACAGUUUAUACCGUAGCUUGCUACACCAUAGACUGUGAGUUGCGAACGGGUGAGUAACGCGUAGGUAACCUGCCUGGUAGCGGGGGAUAACUAUUGGAAACGAUAGCUAAUACCGCAUAAUAUUAAUUAUUGCAUGAUAAUUAAUUGAAAGGUGCAAUUGCACCACUACCAGAUGGACCUGCGUUGUAUUAGCUAGUAGGUGAGGUAACGGCUCACCUAGGCGACGAUACAUAGCCGACCUGAGAGGGUGAUCGGCCACACUGGGACUGAGACACGGCCCAGACUCCUACGGGAGGCAGCAGUAGGGAAUCUUCGGCAAUGGACGAAAGUCUGACCGAGCAACGCCGCGUGAGUGAAGAAGGUUUUCGGAUCGUAAAGCUCUGUUGUAAGAGAAGAACGGGUGUGAGAGUGGAAAGUUCACACUGUGACGGUAUCUUACCAGAAAGGGACGGCUAACUACGUG